rnacentral:rRNA from 1 species
AUCGAACGCUGGCGGCAGGCCUAACACAUGCAAGUCGAGCGGCAGCGGGACCUUCGGGUUGCCGGCGAGCGGCGGACGGGUGAGUAAUGCCUAGGAAUCUGCCUGUUAGUGGGGGAUACCGCGGGGAAACUCGCGCUAAUACCGCAUACGUCCUACGGGCGAAAGCGGGGGCUCUCCGGACCUCGCGCUAACAGAUGGGCCUGGUGCGGAUUAGCAAGUUGGUGGGGUAAUGGCUCACCAAGGCGACGAUCCGUACCUGGUCUGCGAGGAUGAUCAGUCACACUGGAACUGAGACACGGGCCAGACGCCUACGGGAGGCAGCAGUGGGGAAUAUUGGACAAUGGGCGAAAGCCUGAUCCAGCCAUGCCGCGUGUGUGAAGAAGGUCUUCGGAUUGUAAAGCACUUUAAGUCGGGAGGAAGGGCUGUAGGUUAAUACCCUGCAGUUUUGACGUUACCGACAGAAUAAGCACCGGCUAACUUCGUGCCAGCAGCCGCCGCAG